UGCAUUGUUCUUUCCAUACUUUUAAUUUAAAAAUUGAGUUUCGUUUAAAGUUUAAUAGAAAUUGCAUAUGCCAUCCUUAUUUUGUGAUAAAAACGUAAGGUGAUAAAUUCAUUUGCAAUCAAAGGCACUGCUUUCUUUAAAAAGGUGAAUUUAAACUCAACUGUAUCUAUUUCUUUCUAAUUACGCUGACGCAAAGUGGUUCUAUUCUAACAUCGCGCCUGCUUGCAUCUUGGUUUGUGUUCGCAUAUGCACAGUUUCGUUUGCACAAUUUCAGUGGAUUCCGUGGACAACCGUCGCAGUGCGUAUCGCGUGCCACAUCUGUAGUGCCACGCCCAUACCUGCCACCACGUGGCAAGUUGUCCAAGGGACUGCUGCCGCAACACACCUCGGCCUAGCUGUUGAAGUUUAAAAGGCGCGCCGCUCACGUCGCUGCCGGGCCCGCCGCUCGACGACCGCAACCCGCACCGCCUGGACCGCUACCUGAGGCUGGAGCAGCUACGGCAACACUUCUGGAAGCGCUGGUCGGCCGAGUACGUGUCUCUACAACAGCAACGCUACAAAUGGCGCGAGAGGCAACGUGACCUACAACUGGGAGAAGUAGUACUCAUCAAGGAGGAGGGCUUACCGCCGUUGCUCUGGCGCAUGGGCAGAGUCGUCAAACUAUACCACGGGAAGGAUGGCGUACCUCGCGUGGCAGACAUCAAUACCGCUAGAGGGGUGAUCAAGCGUGCGCUGAACAGAAUAUGCCCGCUCUCGU
rnacentral:misc_RNA from 1 species